ACAGGCACAUCAAGGAGGACUAG
rnacentral:piRNA from 1 species